rnacentral:rRNA from 1 species
CCUACGGGAGGCAGCAGUGAGGAAUAUUGGUCAAUGGCCGGAAGGCUGAACCAGCCAUGCCGCGUGAAGGUCAGUGCCCUAUGGGCGUUAAACUUCUUUUGUGCGGGAGCAAUAAUGGUCACGUGUGGCCAGACGAGAGUACCGUACGAAUAAGCAUCGGCUAACUCCGUGCCAGCAGCCGCGGUAAUACGGGGGAUGCCAGCGUUAUCCGGAUUUAUUGGGGGUAAAGGGUGCGUAGGGUGUGAGGUAAGUCAGCGGUGAAAUGCCCCCGCGCAACGGGGUGAAGUGCCAUUGAUACUGCUUUGCGUGAAUGCGGAUGCGGUGGGAGGAAUGUGUGGUGUAGCGGUGAAAUGCAUAGAUAUCAGGAGGAACACCGGUGGCGAAGGCGGCCUGCUGGACUGCGACUGACGUUGAGGCCCGAAAGCGUGGGGAGCAAACAGGAUUAGAUACCCGGGUAGUC